rnacentral:rRNA from 1 species
UACGGAGGGUGCGAGCGUUGUCCGGAAUCACUGGGCGUAAAGGGCGCGUAGGUGGCCUGUGGAAGUCUGCGGUGAAAGCCCGGCGCUCAACGCCGGGUCUGCCGUGGAGUACUCUCGGGCUUGAGCUUAACUAGAGGCAGAUGGAAUUCCGGGUGUAGCGGUGGAAUGCGUAGAGAUCCGGAAGAACACCGGUGGCGAAGGCGUCUGCUGGGGUAAUGCUGACACUGAGGCG